AGAAGAUGUAAUUCACCAGGACCAUCAUGGUCUGGGGGCUCGGUUCCCUGAUCAGCUCUGCAAUUCUCCCCUGGGUUUUCUUCUUCACGUAGUCGUUGAUGCUCUUCUCUGCGGCAUUCGGGUUCUGGAAGUUGGUGAUGAGGGCCUGGGCCUCAUACAGGCGCUGGGUGUCCUCACUGAACUUGGUCAGCACCUCCAUAUGGUCCUGGAUGAACAUGGCGUUGCCCGUGCUGAGCUGCAGUUGCUCGCUGGGCCGGCUGAGGGCGUGCAGGAGAUGCUGGAAGCCCUGGUGGAUUUCUGCCUCGGAGGUUUCUGUGAGGUCGAACUUGAGGCCCUGGAGAAUCUCCGUCAGCGUGGUGUUGCGGGCCCCCAGGGACAGGAAGACCAGGGCAGUCGAGAUGCUCAGUGGGGAGAAGACGACGUUCUCACUGGGCUUCGUGGAAGCCAACUGUUUGUAGAGGCUGAAGGUGAAGUUGGCGUUGCUGGAGGCUAAUCUCAGGUUGUUCGAGGGCGUUGCGUCUUUCUCUGACCCCUUCUGGGCCAGAGUCCCUGGACCUGGUACGGCACAUGGGUGGCAGAGGACAGCAGGACAGAACCCUGCCACCAAGAACCCUAGAGCCAGGAGGAGUGGCAUUGUCUCUACUCUGAAAAGCAAAGAUCCUGUUACCAUGUGAUCAUGCCACCACAGGCCUGGAAGACCUCUUGCUGGAGGGAGAGCAGAGUGUGCCUCAGAAUUUCUGACCUGGGCUGGAUUUCCUUUGGGUGAUUGCUGUGUGGUAGCAAACAGGUGACUGAACCUCUCUGGCCUCGGUCUCUGUCUCCACGCUACACGUAGAGAGGCUUGGGACAGAGAUGCAGCCUGUCUGUCUGUCUGGCUCAGGGGCCUUGAUGGGAAAGUGAAGUCUCAACCUCCAGGCGGCUCCCAUGGAGACCCUAAAAUCACCAGUAGCCUGCUGCUCUGCCCAGAGGGACCCACUGUAAUCAUCACGAGCCCUGGGUUCUGAGCGGGCACCCUGUGCCUCUUCCCGCUGAGGCCCAGACUCCAGCUGGCUCCAUGCAGAAUCCACCCAUGUUGCCCAGGGGUGACCUCCACACUUUGCAGGCAUGAAGACGCAGCCCCAGGGAGGAGAGGGCUCCCCUGGGAGAGAGGAGGUGUCAGCCCCAGAGCUGCCCCUUGCCACCCAGCAGCCACCUGCAGGGCUCCCGGCCCCCACCCACCCCACACAUUUCAGGCCUGGCCUAGCCCCAUCCUGGAGAAAUGGAGUCCUUUGCUCCAAGAAAGAAGGCCUGAGGCCUCAGGAUUACCUGGCAGGAGGGCCGGCUGGACACAGAGGAGGACCUGAAGCCGUGGCCUGGAGUGCUGGAUCCUCCCCACGGCCGAGCCUCUUUACCCCAGCGAGGACUCCUCCCCCUGCUUAGGAAAUACUGAGCAGGACAAGGGAGUGCUCUGUUCUCAGGUGGAAAUGGCCUGAUACCAAUUCCUGGUAACAUGGAUUUACAAGAUAUUGCAGAACAACCAGUUCAGGAAUAGCCCCUAACU